AUUGAACGCUGGCGGCAGGCCUAACACUUGCAAGUCGAGCGGAUGAAGGGAUCUUGCUCCUGGAUUCAGUGGCGGACGGGUGCGUAAUGCCUAUGAAUCUGCCUGGAAGUGGGGGAUAACGUCCGAAAAUGGGCGCUAAUACCGCAUACGUCCUGAGUGUCUAAGUGGGGGAUCCUCGGACCUCACGCUAUCCGAUGAUACUAGGUCGGAUUAUCUAGUUGGUGGGGUAAAGGCCUACCAAGUCGCCGAUCCGUAACUUGUCUGAGAGGAUGAUCAGUCACACUGGAACUGAGACACGGUCCAGACUCCUACGGGAGGCAGCAGUGGGGAAUAUUGGACAAUGGGCGGAAGCCUCAUCCAGGGAUGCCACGUGUGUGAAGAAGGUCUUCGGAUUGUAAAGCACUUUAUGUCGGGAGGAAGGGCAGUAAGUUAAUACCUUGCUGUUUUGACGUUACCAACAGAAUAAGCACCGGCUGACUUCGUG
rnacentral:rRNA from 1 species